UUGACAGCUUUGGAGACUGUUGUCCUCAUUAUCCUCAGAACAGGUGCACAUGGGCAUGUUCCUGCCAAUGUGACUCAGCCUCGAGAUGGAGAGCCCAGUUUCAGAUUAGGUGGUAGUUCAGUAUAAAGCCUUCUCAAACUGCAGUCAUU
rnacentral:sRNA from 1 species